rnacentral:rRNA from 1 species
CCUACGGGUGGCAGCAGUGGGGAAUAUUGCGCAAUGGAGGCAACUCUGACCCAGCAACGCCGCGUGAGUGAUGAAGGUCUUCGGAUUGUAAAACUCUUUAAGUGGGGACGAAGAAAGUCACUGUACCCACAGAAUAAGCCGCGGCUAACUACGUGCCAGCAGCCGCGGUAAUACGUAGGAGGCAAGUGUUAUCCGGAAUGAUUGGGCGGAAAGGGUGCGUAGGGGGGUUGGCAAGUUAGUAGGGAAAUUCCGGGGCUCAACUUAGGAACUACAACUAAAACUGCUGGGCUUGAGUGCAGGAGAGGCAUAUGGAAUUCCUAGUGUAGCGGUGGAAUGCGUAGAUAUUAGGAGGAACACCAGUGGCGAAGGCGAUAUGCUGGACUGUAACUGACGCUGAGGCACGAAAGCGUGGGGAGCAAACAGGAUUAGAUACCCUUGUAGUC